GUUAGAUGGAUGACUAGGCUCAAGCGCCGAUGAAGGACGUGACAAGCUACGAUAUGCCUUGGCGAGCUGAAUGUAAGCUUUGAACCAAGGAUUUCCGAAUGAGUCUUCUCAUAUAUAGGCCCUUAGUGGUCAGGGAACGCAGGGAAUUGAAGCGUCUUAGUACCUGCAGGAAAAGAAAUCAAUUGAGAUGCCGUUAGUAAGAGCGACUGAAAACGGCUCAGUUCAAACUGAAUCCUUUACAGUAAUGUGAAGGAGAUGUGGUGUAUGAACUUCCCUUAAGACCUUUUUUCUAACUCGAAGUUUUCUGGAACGUAACACGUUACAGGGUGAUAGUCCCGUAGAGGGAAGUUAGAAGGUCCUAGGAAGUAUUCUGAGUAGUGUCUCCUGGAAACGAGGCAUGAAUAUAGGGAACAUUAAUCUCUAAAACUAAAUACGUCUUGAGUCCGAUAGCAAACAAGUACCGUGAGGGAAAGUUGAAAAGAACCCCCAUAGGGGAGUUAAAAGACCUGAAAUCUAACAGAGAUAGUGUGUUAGUGCUUUAAGGAGUUCUAACGUGCGUUUUGAAUAACGUGCCAGGGAGUGUAUCUAAGUGGCGAGGAUAAGCUGAAAAAGCGCAUCCAAAGCGAAAGCAAGAUCCCGCAGUUUUACGAGGGGAGAGGUAUGAAAGUGCCUUUAGUCACUUGGAUACUACCUGAAACCGGGCGAUCUAUUCCUGAGCAAGGUGAAGCGAGGGUUAAACUUCGUGGAGGCCUGAAGAGGUUCUACGGACAAGUGUUCUUCUGACUUGGGAAUAGGGGUGAAAAGCCAAUCGAGCUCGGCUAUAGCAGGUUCCUGCCGAAAUUGACCUUAGUCAAGUCUCGGUCGAGAUGGUUAAAGUUGUAGAGCUACGGAUUGCGGAUUUAGGCGAGGAAACUUGUCGGUUUGCUGUCCAACUCCGAAUGCUUUAAUGUUGCAGACACCGGGAAACAGGGAGUCUUGGGGUAAGCUUGACUUCCGAAAGGGGAACAACCCAGACUACAGUUAAGGUCCCUAAGUGCCAGUUAAGUGAUAAAGGGUGAAGGGUGUUUAUGAUCUGAGACAGUGAGGAGGUUGGCUUAGAAGCAGCCAUCCUUUAAAAAGUGCGUAACAGCUUACUCAUUGAGGUCGUAAGCCCCGAAAAUUGACGGGUCUAAACUGGUCACCGAUACUGUAGACUAUGAAAAUAGGUGUAGGCAGGCGUUCUUUUAGGGCAGAAGCUUCUUCGUAAGAGGAGGUGGACCUGGAAGAAAUGAAUAUCCUGGUGGUAGUAGGAACGGAGCAGAGUGAGAAUCUCUGUCGUCGUAAGGGCAAGGGUUCCUUGGCAAUGCAAAUCAGCUAAGGGUUAGUCGAUCCUAACUCAACUCAUAAGUGAGUGAGAGGAAAGGGAAACAGGUUAAUAUUCCUGUACUAAUUUAGUAUACGUGGCAACACAAGUUUUAUUUCUGACGCAUCCGGAUAGACCAACAGAACAUGUCUGUUCUGCUAACGAACAUAAGUCAGGGGAGUAUCGUAAUGAUGAGAACCUGAGUAAAGUUCGGAAUGGUGGAUCUAUGAUUCAUUUGGUUGAUUCCCGGUGCCCGUGAAAAGGGAAUAAUUCAGAUCUGAAUUAAUCGUACCCAGAACCAGCACAGGUGCCCCUAGGUGAGAAGCCUAAGACGUGCAAGAUUAAUCUAGUUAAGGGAAUUCGGCAAAUUAGUCCCGUAUCUUCGGUAGAAGGGAUCCCUGGAAUUGUUGUCGUAUGAUUGCGAUUUCAGGGCGCAGUGACUAAGGUGGUCCGACUGUUUAACAAAAACUUAACCUUCUGCUACGCUGUAAAGCUUUGUAUAGAAGGUGAUAUCUGCCCAGUGCCAGUACUUUAAGCCUCGGUUCAACGGGGUGAAGAGCUGGUAAACGGCGGGAGUAACUAUAACUCUCUUAAGGUAGCGAAAUGCCUUGCCGUUUGAAUGACGGCCUGCAUGAAUGGUAUAACGAGAUCGCCACUGUCCCUAACUAGAACCUUCCGAAUACUCUAUCCUGGUGCAAAGGCCAGGGACUUCCAGUGGGAAGCGAAGACCCCGUGAAACUUUACUGUAGCCUGUUGCUGUGUUUCGAGCUUUGUUAUAUAGUGUAAGUGGGAGCUGUUUGAGACUAUAGACGUCAGUUUGUAGUUAAGGCGCCAAUGUAACACCACUUCUCAAAACUUGAAACACUAACCUCGAAAAGAGGGACACCAAUUGGUGGACAGUUUGGCUGGGGUGGCACGCUGUUGAAAGGAUAUCAAUAGCGCCCAAAGGUUGGCUCAUCCAGUUUAGAAAUCUGGAGUAGAGUGCAAGGGCAAAAGCCAGCCUGAUUGGACUUCAAACAUAACAAUUUCCAAACACGAAAGUGUGGCCUAGCGAACCUCCAUACCUUCUUAAUGAGGGUUGGAGAUGACUGAAAAGUUACUCCGGGGAUAACUGAGUUGUCGCGCCCGAGAGUUCAUAUCGACGGCGCGGUUUGCUACUUCGAUGUCGGCUCUUCCUAUCCUGGUGGUGCAGAAGCUGCCAAGGGUGGGGGUGUUCACCCAUUAAAAGGGAUCGUGAGCUGGGUUCAGAACGCUGUGAGGCAGUUUGUUUGAUAUCUACUGGAAGUGUUGGUUAUCUGAAAGUAAGGAGUUUUUAGUACGAGAGGAACGAAACUUCGGCGCCUCUGGUCUACCUGUUAUCUGACAAGGUAUGCAGGGCAGCUACGCGCCAAGCGAUAAGUGCUGAACGCAUCUAAGCACGAAGCGGAACUUGAAAAGAGAUAGCC
rnacentral:rRNA from 1 species